CUCCUGGGCUUUCGUGGUCUCUCAAGUCUUGUCAUAGACUCAUGAGAUGACCUAUCAGCAGGUUUGGGACAGACAGGGAUGUGUUCAAAAGAACUAUUUGAUAAUCAGAAUGGUGAACCCUGGCAUCAAGCAACCACAGCAAUCCUGUCAUCUCCGAUGGGGACCGGUUGGUAGGACACCUGGCACAAGCUACGAAAUAACCCAGAUUAGGCGAAGUCUAUAGGGAAUUUCUGCAAAGUGUAGGCUCAGGUAUCUCUGCAUGCCAGCAAGCUUCCUGGAUUAUCACUUGCUAAUAACAAA